GUCUAUGGCCAUACUACCCUGAACUUGCCAGAUCUUGUCUGAUUUGGGAAGCUAAGCAUGUCGGGCAUGGUUAGAACUUGGAUGGAAGACCACCUGAGAAUAACAAGUGCUGUAGGCU
rnacentral:rRNA from 1 species